ACUCAAAACUCAUUAAUUAAUAACUGAUGAGGUUUACAAGUAUUAAUAGAGAGAGCAACAAGGAAAUUCGAAAUGUAUAAGCAUGUGUAGUCAAAUGACAGGCUGGAACUCCUUUUGAAUCACUUGGCUGUGCUUUCUCACAUGCUUGCACUAGUAUAAAAGCAUCCUCUCCUUUCCAGCAUCAUACAGGCUGUCAAAGUGCUCCCUUAUCCUUCCUUAUCCUUUCUGGUCGAAUCUUAUCUCUUCUCUUCACUAAGUUACCUUCUUAUCCCAUCAGAUAACUUCCCCAAGUUGUUACUGUGGUUAAACUAAAGUUACCACAGUAAAACUCCAAAGUUACUGUCUGCUCCAAAUCUCUUCCUCUCUCAACAUAUCAACUCUUUAUUCUCUCAUCUCAACACUCCCCC
rnacentral:lncRNA from 1 species